GACGAACGCUGGCGGCGUGCUUAACACAUGCAAGUCGAACGGAAAGGCCCUGCUUGCAGGGUACUCGAGUGGCGAACGGGUGAGUAACACGUGGGUGACCUGCCCUGCACUUCGGGAUAAGCCUGGGAAACUGGGUCUAAUACCGGAUAGGAGCCAUUUUUAGUGUGAUGGUUGGAAAGUUUUUUCGGUGUAGGAUGAGCUCGCGGCCUAUCAGCUUGUUGGUGGGGUAAUGGCCUACCAAGGCGGCGACGGGUAGCCGGCCUGAGAGGGUGGACGGCCACAUUGGGACUGAGAUACGGCCCAGACUCCUACGGGAGGCAGCAGUGGGGAAUAUUGCACAAUGGGCGCAAGCCUGAUGCAGCGACGCCGCGUGGGGGAUGACGGCCUUCGGGUUGUAAACUCCUUUCGCUAGGGACGAAGCUUUUUGUGACGGUACCUAGAUAAGAAGCACCGGCCAACUACGUG
rnacentral:rRNA from 1 species